rnacentral:rRNA from 1 species
GACGAACGCUGGCGGCGUGCUUAACACAUGCAAGUCGAACGGAAAGGCCCUGCUUUUGUGGGGUGCUCGAGUGGCGAACGGGUGAGUAACACGUGAGUAACCUGCCCUUGACUUUGGGAUAACUUCAGGAAACUGGGGCUAAUACCGGAUAGGAGCUCCUGCUGCAUGGGGGGGGUUGGAAAGUUUCGGCGGGUGGGGAUGGACUCGCGGCUUAUCAACUUGUUGGUGGGGUAGUGGCUUACCAAGGCUUUGACGGGUAGCCGGCCUGAGAGGGUGACCGGCCACAUUGGGACUGAGAUACGGCCCAGACUCCUACGGGAGGCAGCAGUGGGGAAUAUUGCACAAUGGGCGGAAGCCUGAUGCAGCAACGCCGCGUGCGGGAUGACGGCCUUCGGUUUGUAAACCGCUUUCGCCUGUGACGAAGCGUGAGUGACGGUAAUGGGUAAAGAAGCACCGGCUAACUACGUG